rnacentral:lncRNA from 1 species
CUCCAGCCUCCCAGUCUCUCGGAAUCCGCAGCCUAGGUGUGGCGCCCCGACCGGACUUUCACUUCUGGCCAGCCCUUUCCCCACCUGGGCGCGGGAGCGGGUGCCAGUCUUUAAACAACCUCUCGAUGGGUCCCACGAAGAUGUUUCCAGACCCUUGGAAUGCCAAGUUCAACUAUGUCUCGCGGAGAGGCCGGUGGAAGAAGCAACGAGAAUGAAGCACCCCAGUUCUCUGCUGAGCACAUGGGCAUCUGCAAUAAAGAUUUAAUUUCCCAGCUUCUCCUGAAGCUCGGUAUGGCCACAACACUAAAUUCUGCCCGAGGAGAUUAAGCAAAAUAGUAUGGGACUUCCAAGAAAUGUUUUUAAAGUCAGGGGCAGGCCUUUCUUCAUGCCUUCUUCCUCUUUGCUGGCUGGAACGCAAAGACCAUGGCAGGAGGCCAAGCAGCCAUCCUGGAAGGUGAAAGCCUCAUACUAAGGACGUCAGACAGCGAAAUAAGAGCCUGGGUCCUUGACCCUGUAGACAUCUCCCUCCCCAUCCUGGUCUGUCUGCCUUGACUCCUUUCAUAUGAGAGAAAUAAACUUUUAACUUGCGUAAACCAGAAAGA